CAAAAACCAACCAGUAACAUCUUCAUGCAGCAGCUCAGAAACACGUCUGGCUCGCACUGACAGAAAAAAAGCAGCUUCUAAUCAAAUGUUAACAAUGGUGCGGCGACCAGAAGGACAGAUGCAUUUGCUAAGACUGAUGGCUCCCAUCUCCCAAGCUGACAUGUCUGGGCAUUCAUGGACAGCUGAUACAGUACAUUCUCCAGCCUUAAAACUUGUACAGUAUUAGUCUUGUAUUAGUUUGUGUCCCUUAUUUGGUCUAAGCCACUUUACACAUGACCGUGGGUUGUGUUACAAUUGUGCACUUUAAAAAGGGAGAAAAGUAUGAGUCAGAAAUGACU